rnacentral:rRNA from 1 species
AUUGAACGCUGGCGGCAUGCCUUACACAUGCAAGUCGAACGGUAACGCGGGGCAACCUGGCGACGAGUGGCGAACGGGUGAGUAAUGUAUCGGAACGUGCCCAGUUGUGGGGGAUAACUGCUCGAAAGAGCAGCUAAUACCGCAUACGACCUGAGGGUGAAAGCGGGGGAUCGCAAGACCUCGCGCAAUUGGAGCGGCCGAUAUCAGAUUAGGUAGUUGGGGGGGUAAAGGCUCACCAAGCCGACGAUCUGUAGCUGGUCUGAGAGGACGACCAGCCACACUGGGACUGAGACACGGCCCAGACUCCUACGGGAGGCAGCAGUGGGGAAUUUUGGACAAUGGACGCAAGUCUGAUCCAGCCAUGCCGCGUGCGGGAAGAAGGCCUUCGGGUUGUAAACCGCUUUUGUCAGGGAAGAAAAGGCUCCUUCUAAUAUAGGGGGCUCAUGACGGUACCUGAAGAAUAAGCACCGGCUAACUUCGUGCCAGCCGCCGCCGUAA